rnacentral:rRNA from 1 species
CAUCCUCCAAGGCUAAAUACUCCUGACUGACCGAUAGUGAACCAGUACCGUGAGGGAAAGGCGAAAAGAACCCCGGCGAGGGGAGUGAAAAAGAACCUGAAACCGUGUACGUACAAGCAGUGGGAGCCCCACCACUAAGCCAGUGGUGAACUUCACAUACGCAUCCUUUGCUGAGGAUACGGUUAACGGAGCGAAAGCGACGUUCAACCUCAAAAGAAGCAGAGGGGGCUUAGUGGUGGGGUGACUGCGUACCUUUUGUAUAAUGGGUCAGCGACUUAUAUUCUGUAGCAAGGUUAACCGAAUAGGGGAGCCGGAGGGAAACCGAGUCUUAAUUGGGCGUUAAGUUGCAGGGUAUAGACCCGAAACCCGGUGAUCUAGCCAUGGGCAGGUUGAAGGUUGGGUAACACUAACUGGAGGACCGAACCGACUAAUGUUGAAAAAUUAGCGGAUGACCUGUGGCUGGGGGUGAAAGGCCAAUCAAACCGGGAGAUAGCUGGUUCUCCCCGAAAGCUAUUUAGGUAGCGCCUCGUGAACUCAUCUCCGGGGGUAGAGCACUGUUUCGGCUAGGGGGCCAUCCCGGCUUACCAACCCGAUGCAAACUGCGAAUACCGGAGAAUGUUAUCACGGGAGACACACGGCGGGUGCUAACGUCCGUCGUGAAGAGGGAAACAACCCAGACCGCCAGCUAAGGUCCCAAAGUCAUGGUUAAGUGGGAAACGAUGUGGGAAGGCCCAGACAGCCAGGAUGUUGGCUUAGAAGCAGCCAUCAUUUAAAGAAAGCGUAAUAGCUCACUGGUCGAGUCGGCCUGCGCGGAAGAUGUAACGGGGCUAAACCAUGCACCGAAGCUGCGGCAGCGA